rnacentral:rRNA from 1 species
UGCCAGCCGCCGCGGUAAUACGGAAGGGGCUAGCGUUGUUCGGAAUUACUGGGCGUAAAGAGCGCGUAGGCGGCUCUUCAAGUUAGGCGUGAAAGGCCUGGGCUCAACCUGGGAACUGCGUUUAAUACUGGAGAGCUUGAGUCCGGGAGAGGGUGGUGGAAUUCCCAGUGUAGAGGUGAAAUUCGUAGAUAUUGGGAGGAACACCAGUGGCGAAGGCGGCUUUCUGGACCGAUACUGACGCUGAGACGCGAAAGCGUGGGGAGCAAACGGGAUUAGAUA